AGUGAACGCUGGCGGCGUGCUUAACACAUGCAAGUCGAACGAGAACGGAUUAUAGCUUGCUAUAAUUGUCAGCUAAGUGGCGCACGGGUGAGUAAUGUAUAGGUAAUAUGCCUCUUACUAAGGGAUAACAAAUGGAAACUUUUGCUAAUACCUUAUACUCCUUAUUAACAGAAGUUAAUAAGGGAAAGAUUUAUUGGUAAGAGAUUAGCCUGUAUUGUAUCAGUUAGUUGGUGGGGUAAUGGCUUACCAAGACUAUGACACAUAACUGGUUUGAGAGGAUGAUCAGUCACACUGGAACUGAGACACGGUCCAGACGCCUACGGGAGGCAGCAGUGGGGAAUAUUGCACAAUGGACGAAAGUCUGAUGCAGCAACGCCGCGUGGAGGAUGACACAUUUCGGUGCGUAAACUCCUUUUAUAUGAGAAGAUAAUGACGGUAUUAUAUGAAUAAGCACCGGCUAACUCCGUGCCAGCAGCCGCGGUAA
rnacentral:rRNA from 1 species